AGCAGCCGCGGUAAUUCCAGCUCCAAUAGCGUAUAUUAAAGUUGUUGCAGUUAAAAAGCUCGUAGUUGAAUUUCGGGAUCAGUACGCUGGUCGUGCCUUCGGUAUGUACUGGUGUUACUGAUUCCUACCUUCUGACGAAUCGUCAUGUCAUUCAUUUGGUGUGGCGGGGAAUCAGGACUGUUACUUUGAAAAAAUUAGAGUGUUUAAAGCAGGCUCGCGCUUGAAUACAUUAGCAUGGAAUAAUGAAAUAGGACGUUCGAUCCUAUUUUGUUGGUUUCUAGGAUUGACGUAAUGAUUAAUAGGGAUAGUUGGGGGCAUUAGUAUUCAAUUGUCAGAGGUGAAAUUCUUGGAUUUAUUGAAGACUAACUACUGCGAAAGCAAUUUGCCAAGGAUGUUUUCAUUAAUCAAGAACGAAAGUUAGGGGAUCGAAGACGAUCAGAUACCGUCGUA
rnacentral:rRNA from 1 species